GCAAAGAGCGCGGUGGCCGCAGCUCGAGGGUGGAGGCAGAGAGCGCGGCAGCCGCAGCUCGCCGGCGGCGACGGCCAGUGCGGCCGGGCGCAGGGAGGCAGGGUCGAGGCUGGGCGCAGGGAGACACGGGGAGUCGAGCGAGGCGGCCGGGGCAGCAGCGUCGGGGCCACCUGGUGGGUGGUGUUCACCCGAGGCGGCGGCAGCGGCGGCGUUGCGGCCGGUGGAGAGGGCGAGGGAGAGAGGGAGGGGGAGGGGCAGGGGCCUGUUUUUUUAUUUUUCUUAUUUUUUAUUUUUCUUAUAUGAUGUAUAUGAUAUAUAUGAUGUAUAAUUGUCCUAAAUAAUUAUUAAUUGUCCUAAAUAAAUGUAUAUGAUGUAUUAUUAAUUAUUAAUUGUCCUAAAUAAUUAUUAAUUGUUCUAAAUAAUUAUUAAUUAUUAUUUGUCCUAAAUAAAUGUAUAUGAUGUUUUAUUUUUCUUAUAAUUAUUAAUUGUCCUAAAUAAUUGUCAUAAAUAAAUUAUUAAUUAUUUUAUGAUGUAUAAUUUCUUUUUUAUAAUACAAUUAUUUAUAACGCAAUUAUUACAAUGCAAUUAUAUAUAUAUAUAUAUAAAUAAUAAACAAUUUUAAUAUUUACUUUUAAUUUAAGUGUCUAUGUAUAUACAUUAUGCAUAUGCUAAGUAGUUAUUAUUUCUUUUUUAUAAUGCA
rnacentral:lncRNA from 1 species